rnacentral:rRNA from 1 species
GAUGAACGCUGGCGGCGUGCCUAAUACAUGCAAGUCGAGCGAACGGACGAGAAGCUUGCUUCUCUGAUGUUAGCGGCGGACGGGUGAGUAACACGUGGAUAACCUACCUAUAAGACUGGGAUAACUUCGGGAAACCGGAGCUAAUACCGGAUAAUAUUUUGAACCGCAUGGUUCAAAAGUGAAAGACGGUCUUGCUGUCACUUUUAGAUGGAUCCGCGCUGCAUUAGCUAGUUGGUAAGGUAACGGCUUACCAAGGCAACGAUGCAUAGCCGACCUGAGAGGGUGAUCGGCCACACUGGAACUGAGACACGGUCCAGACUCCUACGGGAGGCAGCAGUAGGGAAUCUUCCGCAAUGGGCGAAAGCCUGACGGAGCAACGCCGCGUGAGUGAUGAAGGUCUUCGGAUCGUAAAACUCUGUUAUUAGGGAAGAACAUAUGUGUAAGUAACUGUGCACAUCUUGACGGUACCUAAUCAGAAAGCCACGGCUAACUACGUG